GGGAUGUUCUUUUCAUAUAUUGUUUCACCAAAUGUUUCUUAAUAUUUGCUAUGUAUUAUUUUCUCAUUACAUUUUUAUUUUUAUUUGAAACAUUGGGGUUGGUUUGUGUCCUGGUUAUUUCAAUACAUUAUAUUUUCUCAUUGAGUUUAAAUUAUUAAUGUCGUUUACAUGUACAGUGAAAACUGAUUAAACUGAAUCCUGUAUAAACCGAAAACCUGUCUAAAUCAAACAUGUUCGUACGCACCGUCAUAUCAAAUUAUGUGCGUUGUGAACCUGAUAAAACCGAACAUUGGCCAAAAUCGAACAAACUCCUAAGUCCCGUUGAGGUUCGGUUUAAACAGGUUUGGAAAGGUUUGUCAUACUAAUUGGGGAUACAUUGUAGGAAUAUGAUAUGGUAUCUGUAAC
rnacentral:lncRNA from 1 species